rnacentral:lncRNA from 1 species
GUUAUAUGAACUACAGAGUUAUGAAUUUCUCAUUGCAUGAUGAGAAUACGUAGACACAAGGAUUCGAAUCAUUGGCGAGCACAUUAAUUAUUCUUUUGCCUUAGGGCACCAUCCAGAUCUUUCAUCACCCAUCACCCACUAUCUUCAUUCAAAACAUCCAUCCCCAGUGAUAUACUUUCUCUUUCAACCAAAUACACUCUUUCUUUG